rnacentral:sRNA from 1 species
GCGCUCCGAAGACAGCAGGAGGCGAAAGCCAUAAUUCCUGCCGAGGACAUCAACAUCAUUACGAUUGUUAUGUGCCUUUGCGUCUUUUGGAUGCAAGGGUUUUCUUUUUG